AUUGAACGCUGGCGGCAUGCCUUACACAUGCAAGUCGAACGGCAGCACGGGUGCUUGCACCUGGUGGCGAGUGGCGAACGGGUGAGUAAUACAUCGGAACAUGUCCUGUAGUGGGGGAUAACCCGGCGAAAGCCGGAUUAAUACCGCAUACGAUCUACGGAUGAAAGCGGGGGCCCUUCGGGCCUCGCGCUAUCGGGUUGGCCGAUGGCUGAUUAGCUAGUUGGUGGGGUAAAGGCCUACCAAGGCGACGAUCAGUAGCUGGUCUGAGAGGACGACCAGCCACACUGGGACUGAGACACGGCCCAGACUCCUACGGGAGGCAGCAGUGGGGAAUUUUGGACAAUGGGCGAAAGCCUGAUCCAGCAAUGCCGCGUGUGUGAAGAAGGCCUUCGGGUUGUAAAGCACUUUUGUCCGGAAAGAAAUCCUUGGCUCUAAUACAGUCGGGGGAUGACGGUACCGGAAGAAUAAGCACCGGCUAACUACGUG
rnacentral:rRNA from 1 species